rnacentral:rRNA from 1 species
CUUUGCUGACGAGUGGCGGACGGGUGAGUAAUGUCUGGGAAACUGCCUGAUGGAGGGGGAUAACUACUGGAAACGGUAGCUAAUACCGCAUAACGUCGCAAGACCAAAGAGGGGGACCUUCGGGCCUCUUGCCAUCGGAUGUGCCCAGAUGGGAUUAGCUAGUAGGUGGGGUAACGGCUCACCUAGGCGACGAUCCCUAGCUGGUCUGAGAGGAUGACCAGCCACACUGGAACUGAGACACGGUCCAGACUCCUACGGGAGGCAGCAGUGGGGAAUAUUGCACAAUGGGCGCAAGCCUGAUGCAGCCAUGCCGCGUGUAUGAAGAAGGCCUUCGGGUUGUAAAGUACUUUCAGCGGGGAGGAAGGGAGUAAAGUUAAUACCUUUGCUCAUUGACGUUACCCGCAGAAGAAGCACCGGCUAACUCCGUGCCAGCAGCCGCGGUAAUACGGAGGGUGCAAGCGUUAAUCGGAAUUACUGGGCGUAAAGCGCACGCAGGCGGUUUGUUGAGUCAGAUGUGAAAUCCCCGGGCUCAACCUGGGAACUGCAUCUGAUACUGGCAAGCUUGAGUCUCGUAGAGGGGGGUAGAAUUCCAGGUGUAGCGGUGAAAUGCGUAGAGAUCUGGAGGAAUACCGGUGGCGAAGGCGGCCCCCUGGACGAAGACUGACGCUCAGGUGCGAAAGCGUGGGGAGCNAACAGGAUUAGAUACCCUGGUAGUC